rnacentral:snRNA from 1 species
GGAUGUGAGAGUGAUCUGGCUAUGACAUCUGUCACCCCAUUGAUCACCAGGGUUGAUUCGGCUGAUCUGGCUGGUUAGGCAGGUGUCCCCUUCCUCCCUCACCGCUACACGUGCGUCCCUCCUGAAGCUGUGCGCGAUCGGUUGAAGAGGACGGCCUUCCCCAAAAGUGGGAUACAGAAAACUCAUUG